AAACUACUCGGGUGCUUAUCUCACAAAUCAAGUAUAGGUUUCGAACCUCUUCUCUUCUAUUUUUUAUUUGUUAAUUAAAUUUUAUAGUAUUUAAUAAUUUCAAGUGUGUACUAAAUUAGGUAAUUGGUAUCGAAUUACUGUGAAAUUUGAUAACUUGUGUGUGUUCUGAACUACUUAUUUUCGACGUGAAAUUAUUAUUGAAUGUGAAGAAUUUCUGUAAGAUUCUAUUGUUUCAAGAAUGGUUAAUGACUGGGG
rnacentral:lncRNA from 1 species